rnacentral:rRNA from 1 species
UUCCCCUAGUAACUGCGAGUGAAGAGGGAAAAGCUCAAAUUUAAAAUCUGGCAGUCUUUGGCUGUCCGAGUUGUAAUUUAGAGAAGUGUUACCCGUGCUGGACCGUGUACAAGUCUCCUGGAAUGGAGCGUCAUAGAGGGUGAGAAUCCCGUCUUUGACACGGACUACCAGUGCAUUGUGGUGCGCUCUCAAAGAGUCGAGUUGUUUGGGAAUGCAGCUCUAAAUGGGUGGUAAAUUCCAUCUAAAGCUAAAUAUUGGCGAGAGACCGAUAGCGAACAAGUACCGUGAGGGAAAGAUGAAAAGAACUUUGGAAAGAGAGUUAAACAGUACGUGAAAUUGCUGAAAGGGAAACGCUUGAAGUCAGUCGCGUUGGCCAGGGAUCAACCUUGCUUUAGUGGGGUGUACUUCCUGGUUGACGGGUCAGCAUCAGUUUUGACUGCUGGAAAAAGGCUUGGGAAUGUGGCAUCUCCGGAUGUGUUAUAGCCCCUUGUUGUAUACAGUGGUUGGGACUGAGGAACUCAGCACUUGCGGCCGGGAUUCGUCCACGUUCGUGCUUAGGAUGCUGGCAUAAUGGCUUUAAGCGACCCGUCUUGAAACACGGACCAAGGAGUCUAACAUGCUUGCGAGUGUUUGGGUGGAAAACCCGAGCGCGUAAUGAAAGUGAAAGUUGGGAUCUCUGUCGUGGAGAGCACCGACGCCCGGACCUGAUGUUUACUGACGGAUCUGCGGUAGAGCACGUAUGUUGGGACCCGAAAGAUGGUGAACUAUGCCUGNAUAGGGUGAAGCCAGAGGAAACUCUGGUGGAGGCUCGUAGCGAUUCUGACGUGCAAAUCGAUCGUCAAAUUUGGGUAUAGGGGA